rnacentral:rRNA from 1 species
UUAAAUUGAAGAGUUUGAUCAUGGCUCAGAUUGAACGCUGGCGGCAGGCCUAACACAUGCAAGUCGAACGGUAACAGGAAACAGCUUGCUGUUUCGCUGACGAGUGGCGGACGGGUGAGUAAUGUCUGGGAAACUGCCUGAUGGAGGGGGAUAACUACUGGAAACGGUAGCUAAUACCGCAUAACGUCGCAAGACCAAAGAGGGGGACCUUCGGGCCUCUUGCCAUCGGAUGUGCCCAGAUGGGAUUAGCUAGUAGGUGGGGUAACGGCUCACCUAGGCGACGAUCCCUAGCUGGUCUGAGAGGAUGACCAGCCACACUGGAACUGAGACACGGUCCAGACUCCUACGGGAGGCAGCAGUGGGGAAUAUUGCACAAUGGGCGCAAGCCUGAUGCAGCCAUGCCGCGUGUAUGAAGAAGGCCUUCGGGUUGUAAAGUACUUUCAGCGGGGAG